UCCCUGGUGGUCCAGUGGUUAAGACUCUGUGCUACUACUGCAGGGGGUGCAGGUUCGAUCCCUGGUCGGGGAA